rnacentral:rRNA from 1 species
UACAGAGGUCUCAAGCGUUGUUCGGAUUCAUUGGGCGUAAAGGGUGCGUAGGCGGCGCGGUAAGUCGGGUGUGAAAUCUUGGAGCUUAACUCCGAAACUGCAUUCGAUACUGCCGUGCUUGAGGACUGGAGAGGAGACUGGAAUUUACGGUGUAGCGGUGAAAAUGCGUAGAUAUCGUAAGGAAGACCAGUGGCGAAGGCGGGGUCUCUGGACAGUUUCCUGACGCUGAGGCACGAAGGCCAGGGGAGCAAAACGGG